GUGCAUAGUCCGGAAAGAACGCCUGUCCAUUGGCAUUCAGACGGACGAUAAACAGUUGAAGAUGGAACAAGCAUGUAGAGAUCUUCACAGCUCCCCGUUGGGACGCGGGUUCAACUCCCGCCACCUCCACCA
rnacentral:tmRNA from 1 species